UUUCUUUACCUUCCUUUCAGAAAAGACGACGGCGGAUUGACCGAAGCAUGAUUGGGGAGCCGACAAACUUUGUUCACACAGCUCAUGUAGGGUCAGGAGACCUAUUCAGUGGAAUGAAUUCGGUCAGCUCAAUUCAGAACCAAAUGCAGUCCAAGGGAGGCUAUGGAGGUGGCAUGUCUGCAAAUGUUCAGAUGCAGCUUGUAGAUACAAAGGCAGGAUAACCUUGGGGAAACCUUUCCAGUUUAUGUGAGUUCCUGUAUCUUCUUUCCUGUGUCCCUUCUUUUGCCUUGGUGACUGCUUUCUGUGCUCAUGAUGAGAGAAGUGAUGGCUGAUUGUUCACCCUUUGUGAUUACUCCAGUGAAAAGUUGCUGUUCUGCUGUGAUGAUGCCAUUUAUCAGAUUGGUCCAACCGUGCCUUUCAGUGGCAUGCACACAUUGGCCUCUACCAGUAUCAUGGACAUAGAGCUGUUUAGGAUUGUUUUUAGCUUUUUGUUUGUUUUAAGGCAAAUUAAAGCACCAACCUGAGCUUCCCUCAUCCCUCACAAAUACUAAUACACAACAUUCUGUUGCUUUUUAGUCUUUAAAUCUUUUCUCUACUCAAGUAAUUUAGAAAUGAGUGAGUUUCCAUUAACAUCUUCAAUCGUCUAUAUUGUUUAUACCCAUUUUUGAAAGGUCUGGGACCUGCAAGCACAAAUGAUUAUUUCAUACAAAAUCAGCAGAGUAGAUGACCGCAUGCUUUGUGAGGUUGCUUUGUAUGGUGGCCUGCUUGGUGCUAGGACAAUAAAAAAAAAUUGCUUAUUGCAGACUGGUGAAAAAUGUUGCUGUGGCACCAAGUCAUGCCUGUUUCUGAAAAAGGACUUGUAACUUAUCUGCUUCAGAGUUAUGUCUUUAUUUUAGUUUUUAUCCAUUGGUCUUGAAUAAUAAAGAGACAGCUUGCAUUCAUGAGGCAUUUGUUGUAAAUGU